CGGACUGGCAGACGGUUCAAAACGAAGCGGAGAUUUAUAAAGUGAUUUCCUCGGUUUAUUCAGGUGAAGGAGGCUGUUACUGUCUGCCUGGCACUUGGCACUCUUCACCGUUCUGCUUUCCGUCUGGAGUGCCACGGGGCCAACAGUGAGUGCCGGGCAGCUGACGGUGGACCUGGUAAUUACCUGUGAGAAGUUGGUCCUUGGAUGUAAGGCAAGUCUUGCUCAGCUCAGUGACAUUGCACUGAAGAAUGAGGCUUGUCCCUUGUUUGCUUGUGUCUCAUACUCCAUAAAUCAGGAACUUGAGAAGCUGCUUCCAGUCUUGUCUCAGGUGGGCACCACCCAGCCCCUCUGACCACAGCAGCAAAGACCAGUGCCAUGUCUUGCCUGCCCAGUCCCUUGCUGUCAUGCAGACCCCCUCAUAGAAGUGAGUGGCUUGGCCUUUACAUGUGUGACUCUAGCUGUGUAUGCCUUUGACAGUCUGUCAUAUCUUUAAAUACAUUCAGUUAUCAAUAUAUCUGUCUGUCAUAUCUUUAAAUACAUUCAGUUAUCAAUACAUCUGUCUGUCAUAUCUUUAAAUACAUUCAGUUAUCAAUAUAUCUGUCUGUCAUAUCUUUAAAUACAUUCAGUUAUCAAUACAUCUGUCUGUCAUAUCUUUAAAUACAUUCAGUUAUCAAUAUAUCUGUCUGUCAUAUCUUUAAAUACAUUCAGUUAUCAAUAUAUCUGUCUGUCAUAUCUCUAAAUACAUUCACUUAUCAAUAUAUCUGUCUGUCAUAUCUCUAAAUACAUUCAGUUAUCAAUAUAUCUGUCUGUCAUAUCUUUAAAUACAUUCAGUUAUCAAUAUAUCUGUCUGUCAUAUCUCUAAAUACAUUCACUUAUCAAUAUAUCUGUCUGUCAUAUCUCUAAAUACAUUCAGUUAUCAAUACAUCUGUCUGUCAUAUCUUUAAAUACAUUCAGUUAUCAAUAUAUGUCUGUCAUAUCUCUAAAUACAUUCAGUUAUCAAUAUAUCUGUCUGUCAUAUCUUUAAAUACAUUCAGUUAUCAAUAUAUCUGUCUGUCAUAUCUCUAAAUACAUUCAGUUAUCAAUAUAUCUGUCUGUCAUAUCUUUAAAUACAUUCAGUUAUCAAUACAUCUGUCUGUCAUAUCUCUAAAUACAUUCAGUUAUCAAUAUAUCUGUCUGUCAUAUCUUUAAAUACAUUCAGUUAUCAAUACAUCUGUCUGUCAUAUCUCUAAUAAAUACAUUCAGUUAUCAAUAUAUCUGUCUGCCAGUCUGUCAUAUCUCUAAUAAAUACAUUCAGUUAUCAAUAUAUCUGUCUGCCAGUCUGUCAUAUCUCUAAUAAAUACAUUCAGUUAUCAAUAUAUCUGUCUUUUGCUAGUCUGUCAUAUCUCUAAUAAAUACAUUCAGUUAUCA